rnacentral:rRNA from 1 species
UACGGAGGAUCCAAGCGUUAUCCGGAUUUAUUGGGCUUAAAGGGUGCGUAGGCGGCUUUGUAAGUUAGAGGUGAAAGCCUGGAGCUCAACUUCAGAAUUGCCUUUAAGACUGCAUCGCUUGAAUCCGGGAGAGGUGAGUGGAAUUCCGAGUGUAGAGGUGAAAUUCGUAGAUAUUCGCAAGAACACCAGUGGCGAAGGCGGCUCACUGGCCCGGUACUGACGCUGAGGUGCGAAAGCGUGGGGAGCAAACAGG